rnacentral:rRNA from 1 species
AAGCAUCUAAGCGCCAAGCCCCCUCCAAGAAUAGAUAUCCCGCAUCAUAAGAUGCCUAAAGAGACCUUGAAGACUACAAGGUUGAUAGGCCCUAGGUGUAAGCCCCGUAAGGGGUUUAGCUGAAGGGUACUAAUCUCUCGUGAGGCUUGACCAU